GAUGAAGAACGUAGCGAAAUGCGAUACGUAAUGUGAAUUGCAAAUUCAGUGAAUCAUCGAGUCUUUGAACGCACAUUGCGCCCCCUGGUAUUCCGGGGGGCAUGCCUGUCCGAGCGUCAUUGCUGCCCUCAAGCACGGCUUGUGUGUUGGGCCCCGUCCUCCGAUCCCGGGGGACGGGCCCGAAAGGCAGCGGCGGCACCGCGUCCGGUCCUCGAGCGUAUGGGGCUUUGUCACCCGCUCUGUAGGCCCGGCCGGCGCUUGCCGAUCAACCCAAAUUUUUAUCCAGGUUGACCUCGGAUCAGGUAAGGAUACCCGCUGAACUUAAGCAUAUCAAUAAGCGGAGGA
rnacentral:misc_RNA from 1 species